rnacentral:rRNA from 1 species
UGGGGAAUAUUGGGCAAUGGAGGAAACUCUGACCCAGCGACGCCGCGUGCGGGAUGAAGGCCUUCGGGUUGUAAACCGCUUUCAGUAGGGAAGAAGCGAAAGUGACGGUACCUACAAAAGAAGCACCGGCUAACUAUGUGCCAGCAGCCGCGGUAAUACAUAGGGUGCAAGCGUUGUCCGGAAUUAUUGGGCGUAAAGAGCUCGUAGGUCGUUUGUUACGUCGGAUGUGAAAACCUGAGGCUCAACCUCAGGCCUGCAUUCGAUACGGGCAAACUAGAGUUUGGUAGGGGAGACUGGAAUUCCUGGUGUAGCGGUGGAAUGCGCAGAUAUCAGGAGGAACACCAAUGGCGAAGGCAGGUCUCUGGGCCAAUACUGACACUGAGGGGCGAAAGUCUGGGGAGCGAACAGGAUUAGAUACCCUGGUAGUCCAGACCGUAAACGGUGGGCACUAGUUGUGGGAACCUUCCACGGUUUCUGCGACGCAGCUAACGCAUUAAGUGCCCCGCCUGGGGAGUACGAUCGCAAGAUUA